UCUUGCCAGUAAUUUUCAAAACCCUUAAUCCCGCCCUCCCUUUUCUGAGCCAUCAAUCCCUCAGUCCCACCUCUCUUCCUUCUCUGAGCCAUCAAUCCCUCAAUCCCACCUCUUUUCCUUCUCUAAGCUAUCAAGGGUUAAGGAUUUCAGAAGAAGAGAAUAAAAAUUUGUUGGGAUUUCUUGUAAUCAUUUUUCAGAAGAAGUAAUGAAAGUCGUGUUUCUGCAACAAGAGGCGGUAUAACGACUGUUUAAAUCUCGUCACCAGUAGCAGUUUGCCCUCAACGACAUAGUUCUCCUCAAUAGCUGUUGCUGCAUCUUUCAUCAGAUGGAGAUGGAAACGACAGAAGUGGGUUCAGCUAAUGACGAUGAUUGUAGCUUGAACCAAGAGAUGGAAACAGAAAAAUGUAAAUGUGGUGGUUGCAAACAGUGUGAAAUUUUUACCGCCGAAAAUAUUAUCAAUCGUACAUUUCCAACAUCUAAGGUAGCAUAUGAUGUGUAUGUGAGAUAUGCCAAAUGUGUUGGCUUUGGACUUUGAAAAGGAGAUUUUGUAAAAACCAAAGAUGGUUGUUACUCAAGGUGAAGAUUCUUUUGUAAUAGGAUCGGAUUGAGAAAGAAGAAAUACUAUGACAAUAUUUCACGAAAAAGGGAACAAAGGACUGAGACACGAACUAAUUGUCAAGCUAAAUUGUGUUUAUACUUUGAUAAAAGUGCAAUUGUUUGGAGGGUUAAGAAUUUGUUCGAUGAACAUAACCAUGACUUAGUUCCACAAUGCAUGGUUCACUUAAUUCAGAACCAUCGGCAGUUAACUGAUACAAACAAGGCAUAAGCUGACAUCAUGCAUAUGUAUGGUGUGCCAACAUCUCAAUAUAUGGGGUUUAUGGCUGGACAAGCUGGUGGG